rfam:Ricinus communis cultivar Hale ctg_1100012359428, whole genome shotgun sequence.
AAACCAUGGUAUGGACAGCUCCUUAGUAAAUCCUUGAAACGUUCCCAGCAAUCGUACAGAAUCUUAUUCUCUUGCUAAAGAAAUCCUGCUAUGUCAUUCCUCAACUU